UGCAGUCGAGCGGGGAAGAGUAGCUUGCUACUUUACCUAGCGGCGGACGGGUGAGUAAUGCUUAGGAAUCUGCCUAUUAGUGGGGGACAACAUCUCGAAAGGGAUGCUAAUACCGCAUACGUCCUACGGGAGAAAGCAGGGGACCUUCGGGCCUUGCGCUAAUAGAUGAGCCUAAGUCGGAUUAGCUAGUUGGUGGGGUAAAGGCCUACCAAGGCGACGAUCUGUAGCGGGUCUGAGAGGAUGAUCCGCCACACUGGGACUGAGACACGGCCCAGACUCCUACGGGAGGCAGCAGUGGGGAAUAUUGGACAAUGGGGGGAACCCUGAUCCAGCCAUGCCGCGUGUGUGAAGAAGGCCUUUUGGUUGUAAAGCACUUUAAGCGAGGAGGAGGCUACCGAGAUUAAUACUCUUGGAUAGUGGACGUUACUCGCAGAAUAAGCACCGGCUAACUCUGUGCCAGCAGCCGCGGUAAUACAGAGGGUGCAAGCGUUAAUCGGAUUUACUGGGCGUAAAGCGCGCGUAGGUGGCCAAUUAAGUCAAAUGUGAAAUCCCCGAGCUUAACUUGGGAAUUGCAUUCGAUACUGGUUGGCUAGAGUAUGGGAGAGGAUGGUAGAAUUCCAGGUGUAGCGGUGAAAUGCGUAGAGAUCUGGAGGAAUACCGAUGGCGAAGGCAGCCAUCUGGCCUAAUACUGACACUGAGGUGCGAAAGCAUGGGGAGCAAACAGGAUUAGAUACCCUGGUAGUCCAUGCCGUAAACGAUGUCUACUAGCCG
rnacentral:rRNA from 1 species